GCCGAACGCUGGCGGCGUGCUUAACACAUGCAAGUCGAACGAAGUGGCGAACGGGUGAGUAACGCGUAAUCACCCUGCCCUUCAGAGGGGGCCAACAGUUGGACACGACUGCUAAUACCGCAUACUGAAGGAGGUGAUUGCGUCUGAUUAGCUCGUUGGCGGAGUAACGGCCCACCAAGGCGAUGAUCAGUAGACGGUCGGAGAGGAUGAACGGCAACAUUGGGACUGAGAAACGGGCCAGACGUCUACGGGAGGCAGCAGGGGGGAAUCUGCCGCAAUGGACGAAAGUCUGACGGAGCAACGCCGAGUGAGUGAUGACGGCCUUCGGGUUGUAAAGCUCUGUUAAUCGGGACGCGGUACCGGAAUAGAAAGCCACGACUAACUACGUGCCAGCAGCCGCGGUAAUAC
rnacentral:rRNA from 1 species